GUGCCAGCCGCCGCGGUAAUACGGAGGAUGCAAGCGUUAUCCGGAAUGAUUGGGCGUAAAGCGUCCGUAGGUGGUUAUGUAAGUCUGUGGUUAAAGCGUGGGGCUCAACCCCAUAAGGGCCAUGGAAACUACAAGACUAGAGUAAAGUAGGGGUAGAGGGAAUUCCCAGUGUAGCGGUGAAAUGCGUAGAGAUUGGGAAGAACACCGGUGGCGAAAGCGCUCUACUGGACUUAAACUGACACUGAGGGACGAAAGCUAGGGGAGCGAAAGGGAUUAGAUACCCCUGUAGUCCUAGCCGUAAACGAUGGAUACUAGGGGUUGCCCGUAUCGACCCGGGCAGUGCCGUAGCUAACGCGUUAAGUAUCCCGCCUGGGGAGUACGCACGCAAGUGUGAAACUCAAAGGAAUUGACGGGGGCCCGCACAAGCGGUGGAGUAUGUGGUUUAAUUCGAUGCAACGCGAAGAACCUUACCAGGGCUUGACAUGUCUAGAAUUUCUGCGAAAGUAGAAAGUGCCUUCGGGAGCUAGAACACAGGGGGUGCAUGGCUGUCGUCAGCUCGUGUCGUGAGAUGUUGGGUUAAGUCCCGCAACGAGCGCAACCCUCGUUUUUAGUUGCCAUCAUUAAGUUGGGCACUCUAGAAAGACUGCCGGUGACAAACCGGAGGAAGGUGGGGAUGACGUCAAGUCAGCAUGCCCCUUACGCCCUGGGCUACACACGUACUACAAUGCUAUGGACAAAAGCAGCCAACUGGCGACAGUGCGCUAAUCUCAUAAACCAUGGCUCAGUUCAGAUUGCAGGCUGCAACUCCCCUGCAUGAAGGCGGAAUCGCUAGUAAUCGCAGGUCAGCGUACUGCGGUGAAUCCGUUCCCGGGCCUUGUACACACCGCCCGUCACACCAUGGGAGAUGGUCACGCCCGAAGUCGUUACUCUAACCGCAAGGAAGAGGACGCCGAAGGUAGGGCUGAUGACUGGGGUGAAGUCGUAACAAGGUAACC
rnacentral:rRNA from 1 species